UACGUAGGUGGCAAGCGUUGUCCGGAUUUACUGGGCGUAAAGAGCGCGCAGGCGGUCGAUCAAGUCGCGUGUGAAAGCCCACGGCUCAACCGUGGAGGGUCAUUGGAAACUGGGGGACUUGAGUACAGAAGAGGAAAGCGGAAUUCCACGUGUAGCGGUGAAAUGCGUAGAGAUGUGGAGGAACACCAGUGGCGAAGGCGGCUUUCUGGUCUGUAACUGACGCUGAGGCGCGAAAGCGUGGGGAGCAAACAGG
rnacentral:rRNA from 1 species